AUGGGCACCAUUUGCUUGGCAAAAAGCUAGUUCAAUAUAGAAAUGUCACGUUGCUUUUGUUUGUGAUGUGAUUCAACUUAUGUAAACAGUAAGGUUUUAACCUGCUGUGCUAAUUGGAUUUAACCCCCUCCUCCCCCAGCUGUCAUCUCUUUUCCUUGAAAACCCAGGGUUUCUCCUGGUUUGUACUGUAAACCUUAAUUCCCCAUGACUUCAGGAUGAAGGUACCAUCUCACCAUCACUCUGAGCCGACCCUUUUAGAAAGUUUAUGAACCUUUCAGUGGCUGAGGUCUGAGCUGAGAGUUUGUGAGAUUUGCCUGGGUCUGUGCUUCGUUCUGAGACUUUACCAAACCACUGAAUCUGUCGACGAUUGGAAGCCCUCCUUGUGGCUGGGAGCCUCUCCAGGAGAUGCAGAGCAGCUCCCAGCGACUGGGCUUUUCAUCAGGCAACAAGCGUUGGCUUCUCCAGACAACCUGGAAGUCCCAAAGCUCCUCCGAGGGUUUGGUAUCCAAAACUUCGCUAUAAACAAUAAUUAAUUUUCACAAAAUGGAACUAUUUCCAUUUCUGCAAAUAUCAUGAAAUCCUUUUAGCGUCAAUUCUGUCUUCUUGGAAUUUAAAUCUAAAUUAGGACAAAAUUCUUUUUAGCUGAAGAGUUAUUGCCUUCGUUUGGCUUUGCUGGUUGUUCGGGGCCCUGGCUGUCGCACAGCCUGUCCUCUAACCAUGCUCCAAGGGUCACCUCUGCCAGGAGCAGUCCCCUACCAGCGUGAAGAGUCCACCUGCAGCCUGCAUCGUGGCAGGGAUCACUGAGAUGCAGUUUUGAAGAGAACCGGUCCCUGAUUGCCUGAGGUGAUGGUGGCCGGCAGAGCGAUUGUAAGAACAUAUACUUGCUUUGUACUUUCUCGGCUCCUUCCUGAUUUCUGCGAGGAAUCCGGCGUAGCAAUGGCCAUGGAAAACCAGGUUAGUGCACAGUAGAGGCUUUCAUGGGCACUAAUCUUGAUGACAAAAUUAUUCGAACAAACACUUCUUGUGUCACCAAUAUAUAUUAUGUAAAACCUUGUGACUUUGAUUAUGUGUCUAUAAUACAGAUUAGUCUGUUUGGGUGUUUGGUGCUGACCUCCAAUAAGCUCCUAAAGUAUUAGCAAGAAUUUGCAAGUGACAGGCAGGCAGAGGUGCUGUUCUGCCUAAUCCCAUUCUCGAAACUCUGACUGUGUAUGUCUGAGCAGUUUCUGUUGCUUUCCUUAAGGCACCGGGUUAUUCCUUUCUCUGCCCCCUCCCAACGGCCUUUGUCCUUCUCUCCCCUGCUUUGAUGUAUCUCAAACGUUGGAAGAUUUAGCUAACCUUAUGGACCGGAGCCAGGAAGACAGCGAGAACAAAUUUAGAAUAGGAGGCAGAGAAUGUACCAGCUGGGAGGUGAUGCUGUCAAUCUCCAUGGAGACCUCUUUAGUUACAGCUUUGCUAAUUACUCUGAUGAAUUGUAUAGAGUCCGGUUGAAAGCCCAUCCAAGUCAAUGGAGAGUUUCUAAUUGACUGGCCAUGUCUUGGGACCAUGAAGAGUGCAAAGGGCACGGCCCCUGCGUGUAACACCGGUGAUGAUUUGCCUUUGUGGCUUUCUCCUUGGUGGCCAAAACACAACCUAAGGAGAACCUAGACACCUUGAUCUGGUCUCCUGCAUGAGGCCAGCUUCUUCUAAAGAAGAAAGCCCUGCCGAAACAAAUGUAGGUCUUGUCUCACCAAAGCAAUUUAUUUCUUCGGAAUGCAGGUGAGCCAUCCCCAUCAUCUUCUCAGCAGGUGCACGUUCCACAGGAGUCAGCUCCUGUGGGAGAUGAACUGGGACAAGAUCCACAGAAGCCUUUUGGCUCCAAACGCCUAGAUGGGACAUGGCCCUGUGCAGGAGUUGGGCAGCUGUAUCCGUGAGCCCCAUGUCCCCCAGAUAAGCCUGUUUCAGCAAAGCCAGGGACUGCAGACACUGGCAGAGAGGAAUGCCAGAGGUCUGGAGAGAAAGAAAAGGUGGCCCCUCAUCUGCUCGGGUUUCUGGGUUAGGACAUCUCUUAUCUCAGAGGGGGCUCUCAGGCCUGGGGACCCUGCCCACACCCGCAACACAAGCAACAACAGCCCUCAGGUGAAGUUUGGCUCCUCAGCACUGCGGCUCAGGCUUGUCAUUACUUGAAGCCAA